UUUAACGGCCGCGGUAUCCUAACCGUGCAAAGGUAGCAUAAUCACUUGUCUCUUAAAUAGAGACUAGAAUGAAUGGCUAAAUGAGGACUAAUCUGUCUCUUACGGACAACCAAUGAAAUUAAUCUUUCAGUACAAAAGCUGAAAUAAAAACAUAAGACGAGAAGACCCUGUGGAGCUUCAAACCAAACACACCCUGUUUUUAGUUGGGGCGACUUCGGAGCACAAUAAAACCUCCAAAAUUUUCAAGAUUAACAAACCAAAAAUUAGACCCAGCAUGUCUGAUCACUGAACCAAGUUACCCCAGGGAUAACAGCGCCAUCCCCUCCUAGAGUUCAUAUCGACAAGGGGGUUUACGACCUCGAUGUUGGAUCAGGACACCCCAAUGGUGCAGCCGCCAUUAAAGGUUCGUUUGUUCAACGAUUAAAGUCCUACC
rnacentral:rRNA from 1 species